UACAGGGGUGGCAAGCGUUGUUCGGAAUUACUGGGCGUAAAGGGCGCGUAGGCGGCCUCCUAAGUCAGACGUGAAAUCCCCCGGCUUAACCUGGGAACUGCGUCUGAUACUGGGAGGCUAGAGUGCGGGAGAGGGAUGCGGAAUUCCAGGUGUAGCGGUGAAAUGCGUAGAUAUCUGGAGGAACACCGGUGGCGAAGGCGGCAUCCUGGACCGACACUGACGCUGAGGCGCGAAAGCUAGGGUAGCAAACGGG
rnacentral:rRNA from 1 species